rnacentral:rRNA from 1 species
UACCCGCGUCGGACUGCGUCGUUGCGGCGCACGCCCUACUUCCGGAAGCCCAACAUUUGACGAAAGCUGGCCCUGCUAAUACUGCCCUGGCCUCCUUCUUUGGGGCCGAUUGAAGCACGGGCGUCGGGGCCAUUA